rnacentral:tRNA from 1 species
UAGCUAUUAAUUUAAAUCUUAAAAUUUUAAUCUUGUAAAUUAAAAACAACUUUUCGUUAUAGCUAA